AACACGUUCGACAACAAGUACUACGUGGACCUGCUGAACCGGCAGGGCCUCUUCACGUCGGACCAGGACCUGCUCACCAACGCUACGACCAGGCCUAUCGUCACCAAGUUCGCUGUUGACCAGAACGCCUUCUUCGAGCAGUUCGUCUACUCGUACGUCAAGAUGGGGCAGAUCAAUGUGCUCACGGGGUCCCAGGGACAGGUUCGCGCCAACUGCUCCGCGCGCAACGCUGGUGCUGCAGGUAACGGUGGCGAGGACCAGCUGCCGUGGUCCGACGUCGUCGAGACCGUCGUCGACGCCACCGGCAGCCUCGUGCUCUAGAUCGUAUCGUGAAACAACAACCGCACCACCGGCCGGGAGUGCGCGUAUGUACGUGUGUAGCAGUUUGUUGGCAGCAAGUUGUUAGCAAUUUGAAGCUUGCUUGUUUUUUCUUAUAUAAGUCUCGAUCUCUCCAUCGAGUCCAUAUAUAUGUGGGGGCAUAUGCAUGCAUGUUGUAACAAAAUAAGCAGGCAGCUAAGCUAGCUAGUGAUCCAUUGGAAAUAAAAAGCUCGUGUGUUCUUGCCUUCUUGGGGAUCAGAUGAUGUCAUGACGACGAUCAUUACAAACGACGACGUCGAUGGCAUUGGCAUGCCCUGCAGGGCAGUUCAGGCCGGGCACCAGCAGAUCGACGAACUAAUUAAGGGGGUGUUUAGUUCUCCUUUUUUUUUCCCAAAAGAAUUUUAGGUUUUGGUCUAUCAUUUUGCAAAAUAAAACUAAUCAUCAUGUAAAAUUUUUGGCAAAAAGGUGGUUAUAUAUUCUCUAUUUUGGAUUUUGACCUCAAAAGUCCAAAACAAAAAUAAAAAAGAACCUCAAGAGGCUCUCAUGAGGAGAAUAAAUUCUACAUUUUGGAUGGAGCCCUGAAAAUUUUAACAUUUUGCAUUUCAUCACUCCAAAGUAUGGUUGGCAUUUUGCAUUAUGGAUUCUAUAUAUGGGUAACUAAACGCCCCCUAAACUGUGCGUGCCGGGCAAAUUCUCAGCCGAAGUCGAAUGAAUGUGAGCCGCGGCAGCAUCGGAGCGGCGACGUACGCCCCUCGCGUCGCUGUCGGACUGGAACAAGAUCGUCAUGAUGUGGUGAAUGCCAUGCCGAGGGACGAGAGCUAGAGCUAGCACCACGUCCAGGAGUACAAAAACCGAUCCAUCUCGAGACUCUUCAGACUUGUGAAGUUGCAGAGUAGCACGUACUAGCAGAGAUCACGAUGCACAUAUAAUAAGGCCUUGUUUACUUUCACCCAAAAUCCAAAAACUUUUUAAGAUUUUCCGUCACAUCGAAUCUUUAAACAUAUGCAUGGAAUAUUAGAUAUAAACGAAAAUAAAAACUAAUUGCACAGUUUAGUUAAAAUUUACGAGACGAAUCUUUUGAGCCUAGUUAGUUUAUGAUUGGACAAUAAUUACCACAAACAAACGAAAGUGUUACAGUAUCGCGAAAAAAUUUCGGGUAGGAACUAAACAAGGCCCCUAAGUAUAUUGCACCCGGCGACGACGGCGAGCGAUCGUCUACCGAGACACUCAAAUGCCGACGCCAGGUCACUUGCACAGCAAAACAGCAUGUCUUGUUUAUAGCAGCAGCAGCAUCCGUUCCGUGCAGGUGCAGCCAUCUCGGCAUGGCAACACCAACACAUGAUUAUUCUUUUCCUUUUUCUUCUAAAAAAAGGAAUCACACUAAUUCCUAGUUGUGUACACUCCUAGUGCUGUGACCUUAGGGCACUAUAUAUGCAUGGCUUGGUCUUUCUGAGUAACAACGUCAACAAUGUGCACACGCAGACUAAUAAUACAGCAUUACUAUUUAUAUCUAGCACAUGCCAUGGAAACACGUCAUAGAACGUCAUAUAUAUAGGGUUGCCUUACAAAAGCAUACUAACAUACUUAGUAGAAACGAUAGCUCCUGGGUGCAUGCAUACAUACAUAUGCAUGCCCCUUACCAGGACAACCAGGCUCACACACAACUAUGGUUCCCAGGCAUAACCUGUUUGUUACAGAUUGGCUAAUGAUUUUUUUUUUCGAAAAAUGCUGGCAGAAAUGCCAGGCAAAUAUAUUAAUAUAGAGGAGGAAACAGACACAGGACAAGCGAAAAAAAAAUCCAGAAACCAACAAACCAAAAGGCCCAAAUAUAUGAGGGGUUUAGGCCCUCAAGGCAAAAUUGGCUAAUGAUUAAUUACACAUAACCUAUUCAGGGUUGCUGAUAAGGAUUAGUGCACAUAAUAACUUACUCAGGCCAGGUACUAGCUCUCAUCUCCUGUACCCUUAGGGUGGCCAUCUUUGCUCUCAUAUCCCGUACCCUCAGCCUGAGGGCAGGCUUUUUCUUUCAAGAACCACAAGGCUGGCUUAUCAUCAGGGCAGCCAUUUUCAUUGAAGAACGACCUCGAGUAAGGCAGCUGGUAGCUGACAUGUUCUUUGAAGAACCUCGGGCAAGACAUAUCAUCAUCGUCGUCAUCAGGGAAGCCAUCUUCGUCUUCUUGGGACAUGAGUGACUCGAAGAAAGGUGUACCAUCGAGGUAGUCAAUGACAUUAUAAAAGCAGAGCUCACGUCGCUCGUUGAAGCCAAAUUUGUAGGGCAGGUUAGCCUUGUUAACACGGUCCACACUGAGUGCAGUCUCCUUGAAUUCGGGGAAGCGGCGAACCAUCUCGUCAUGGUCCACAAGAUGUGAUCCAUGUUAGAUUGAACGCAUUCGGCUUUUAUUUUUGUCGUGCUGGCCGGUUUGCUAAGAAGAAUUAGGAAAAGAAAAAAAAAAUAAGCCCAUUUUUGGUAUAUAUUUGCUAACAGGUCUUGUGAUGGAAAAGGAUGUAAUAUUUUAUUAUUUUAAAGUAGUUGACAUUAUACAUUUUGCAUUUUAUAACAUGUUGCCUGCUUGACGCCGUGAGCCCCGUGCCGGGCUUCCUACGCCAUGUUGGUGUUGAGAAGGCGUCGGGGUGCUGGUCGGGCCGCGGAAGCGAGUAGCAGAAUCUCGUCGGUCCAUAUGAAGCGGCGGAAUCGUCGACGACAGAUCCAAACCCGUAGUAAGUAGCAGCAUCUCGUCGGUCCAUAUGAUAUUUUUCUUGCAUUGAAUAUUAUAAGAAUCAUUAAAUCCAAUAGGUUCAUCUAAAUCGAUCCAAUAGCUUGUUUAUUUAAGCAAGCAUAUAGCCUUAGGGCUUCUUUGUAUACAUGCAUUAGCUGAGUGGAACCAGCUAACACCUAAUUUUUAGUUUGUUGACUGGUAAAAGACUAUUAGCUGGGAUCCAUUCCAAACUGGCUAAUUUUUAGUAGCUGAAUUUUAGCUGUGUGGGAUCCAAAUAGAGCCUUACUCUUGAACAAAAUUAGCGUGAUUUGGGGAGUUUGUACUCUUUUCAAUAAGAAAACGAAAAAUCUAGUUGGUUAACAUUUUUUAGUGUUAUGUACAAAUAGUUUGGGGGUCUCUAAACUUUCUGAUUCUUGCGCUGAAGAUUUCGCACAGAAGAUUAAAUUUAAUAUGAACAAAGUUAGAUUUCUGUGCGCAUUCUCUUGUGACCAUGAACGGUGUGUCGCAGAUGGAUCUAUUGCUUCAUGUGCAAAAAGAAAGGGUUCAACUCUGUCAACAUGAUGAACAUUCUCUAGAUGGCCAACUAAGGGAUACUCGGCAUCAAAUCUCCCUGAGGUACAGCAUUGAUGUUGGAAGAUUUACAUUGCUCAGUAUGACUACUCAGGGUUUUAAAUAGUUGGCUAAGACAUUUAGCGGUGGUCUCAUCUAGGAGCUCUAAAAAGCUAUUAUCAGGAUAUCGUAGAGCUAUGUCAUUAUGCGGUUUUGUCAAACAUGAAAAUUUUCAAUGAAUUAUGCAUACAAUUACAUCAUAAUCAUUCCAUCAACCAACAUAGUCACAGUUAUAAUCAAUAUUAUAUUCAUUCAACAACAAACAACUAAGCAUUUUACUCAAUAUUUGCAUACUCUUAAGCUUAGAACAAACGAUCUAAUUAAAUGUUUACGUUCUGUUGGCAAUAAUACUUGUGAACCAAUUGUCUUUGUAGGCCUCCGUUCUGUUCUAUUUGAGCUUAACCUCCUCAUCUUAGUAAAUAUAAGGUUAUUUUUUGUAUUACAUAUCUAGCCCUGUAGCUUCCAAAGCUGUUGGAUUAUGUUUCAUGUGUUUUCUGACAGUUAAUAUAUUCAGAUGCUUUAUUUAUUACCUAUCCAGGAAUUAUAUUUUUAUGUAUUUACUUUUCUACAUUGAUUCAUUUAAAGCAUACUAGUGUUCAAUAAAACAGCAUUCCCUGCAUUUUGGUUGACACAAAAUAUGCAGAAUCUGCCUGAGACAUGCAAAUAACAGAGUUCAUAUUUAUCUGCACUGAACGAUACGUUGGCAUCUUGUAAAUCCACCUAUAAACUCUUUUCAGGUGGAAACUCUGUAUAUAGUGCUCAAUAAACUUUUCACAAUUACAUUCCAACUCUCACAUCUCUGUAAUUCAGUUUACUUUGUGCAAUCAGGUGACUCUGUACAGUUCUAUUGUUUUUCUUAUAGAAAUAAUGUUACUGUUUGCCUUUACAAUUCCACUGUUGAUUUUUCUCCCACACAUGUGCAUGCAGGAUAUCUGGUGUCAUAUACAUUCCUUAAUGCCAAUUCAAGAUGCUGCCCGAGCUGCCUGUGUGUCUCAGACCUUUUUGCGUUCCUGGAGAUGCCGCCCUAACCUCGAUUUUAGUAGGGAAACAUUGGGCUUAAUAAAUGAAAAUACAUGUAGAAAUGAGGAAACACAAAGGGACAUCACCAGCAUAGUUGAUCACAUUCUGCAAAACCACUCAGGCAUUGGAGUGAAGGCAGUCAAGUUUCAGGAUGGUUCAGAUUACAAUAAUCAAGACUUCUGUCAUCUUGAUCUCGACUACACUGUACAACUUUCCAUGCUCACUUUUAUCUGUUGAAAUUUUGGAAUCACUCCGUAAUCUUCACCUUGUCGGCUGUUGCUUUCAUCCCACAAUUGGACUUGGUUCCUUGAGAAACUUGAGAAGAAUACAGCUGUGUAACGUAUCUAUUACUGAGAGCAAGCUAGAGUGUCUUCUUUCCAAUUCUCUCUCUUUGGAGCAGUUGGUACUCAGGAGAUGCAGUGGGAUUAUUUGCCUGAAAAUACCGUGCCUGCAGCGGCUUAGCUACCUUGAGGUGAACACUUGCCUUGGGCUGGAAGUGUUAGAGAGCAAAGCUCCAAAUCUAUCUAGUGUUCGCAUUGCAGGAGACCUCCAUGUACAACUCCCGCUUUUGGAAACGUCGCGUAUUAUAAAAUAUUUUAGAUCAUGUCAUGGUGCUGCCUUUUAUGCUCGUACUGAGCUUCCAUCCAGCAUGCCAAAUCUCGAGACUCUUAGCAUAGUUUCAGAAACUGAGGUAUGAACUUUCUGUGAGCAAUAUGCUUAGAAUGAUUUUACAACAGGCAUACAGUGGAAUACAAUUAAAGCAGACUUCUUUUUAACCCCCCUUUUUGCAGACGGUUAAUACGCCGGUAAUGCCUAGCAAAUUCCUCCACCUCAAGUCCUUGACUAUUGCUCUUCGUGGACAGACCUAUGAUUGUUUUUCUCUGUUAUCCUUUUUUGAUGCUUCUCCUUUCCUGGAGAAUUUCAUCUUGAAUGUAAGUCAUUGUCCGUCCAGCAAAACAUUGGUAACUGACAGAAUCGUUAAUUCAAGUUUUUGAAGAUCCCUCGGACCUGAGGAAGAUGCCAGAGAACCAUAAUGACAAGCUCAAGUGUGUUCGAAUCACCAAUUUCUCAUCUGCAAAGAACUUGAUUGAGUUGACCUGUCAUAUUCUCGAGUCUGCAAUGUCAGCCUCACAUUGGACACCACUCAUGGUGCGCCUAGAUGCUCUGUCAGUAAACAUGGCAGGUGCUGGCCAAUGAGGAGGGAUGCACUUAUGGAAGCGCAUAGAGCACUAUCGGCUGUCCAAACAUACGUCAAGUCAAAAGUUCCUUCAACAGUGGAGUUAAAUGUUUUUGAGCCCUGUAGCCAGUGCCAUGCUGUUGCACUUUAGGUGGUCAAUUUAACCACAAUUAUUCAUUGGAACGGUCAGUGUGGUGUCUUAGGCCAGUUUCAAUGGGAGGGAGGUUUUAUGUCCUGUUUUCUAAGGCAUGACAUCAUAAAAUGAAACAUGAUGAAACAGAGUCCCUCAAUGCACAGUUUCAUUUCCCUGUUUCAUAGGCUAGCUUUUAUCAUUGAAUUUUUGUAUUGUGUUGUGAUAAAAUGUGUCAUGUAAACUAAGUAGCCAUUUGAGAACAUGAUAAAAUUGGCAAAUAAACAUGGUUUAUCAUACAAAAUGACAUCUCGUGGAAAAGGGAAGGCUUUCACACUUAAAAAAUGACAACGUUCUUCACUCAAGCACUAGAUAGCAGUUUCAUAUUACAAACUGAUCGGCAUUCUUGGAGAAAAGACAAAGUAAUUCAGGUUGAGCUCUCAAUAGAAUAUUCAGAAGUGAAUACUGUAAAAGCUCUAAACAAGAGUACUGCACUAGGAAUCUAGGAUAACGAAAAUUCCAAUACUAAACAAGAUUUCAGAAGCACCAACGGUAAUGCUACACUAGGAUAUGGAACCGAAACAGACGAGCUAAUCAGCGGCGCAGCGCAGGCCAUGAACUCGGCAGCAGCGAAGGAGAUGAACGUAACUCAGCAGUGACACAAGCGAUGACGCUGCUUUGCGGUUGCAAAGAGUACUAGUACUAGUUCCAGCAGCUAGCGAUCGAUCUCUCUAGCUCUGCAUCGAUCUGCAUAUGCACAAGGAAGAAGGAGAAGAUCCGUGCAAGGAAGCUGAGAAGCAGGAAGCAGCCGAGCCCGGCCAUGAUGCCCGCAAGUAGCGGCAGUCCAGGACCGACGUGGCCCCAGUCCAUGCCGACGAGCACCACCAUCUGGAAGACGGCCAUCCCGACGAACGCGAGACCGGCACACAGUUUCAGUAUCUCCUUACUCCAGUCUAUCUCCAUCGUCGCCGGCCAGCCAACGAUGCCGGCCAGACCGGCCUGCUACAUAUAUAUAUGUAAUGUAAUGUAAUAUGUAAUUGUACAAGUACGUGGUGAUUCAUUCAUUAAAUCCUGCUCUGCUGCAGAGAUCGAUCGCAACACGUAAGCUCUUGCAUAUUGGAAAGCCAAUCUAGCUAACUGUUAAUUUCCAUACACAUCGUUCGUCGGCCUUGCAAAAUUAAAUGAUUUCCUUUCGUGGACUACUAAAUAAAUACUCUCCCCGUCUUGACAUAGAGUACAUUGUGACUUCUAAAGUUUAUAUUGAAAUACAAUACAUUCUAUAUAAUGACUAUGUUUUGAUUUAGAAAAGGAUUAUUAAAAAGAAAACCACGAUUAAGUAGAAACUUUAUAAUUAGAAUAUCUAUAGGUACAUGUGAGUGUUCCACACUAUAUUACAAAUAGAGGGAAUAUAUAAUAAAAACAAAACAAACUCAAGUAAGAGAGCAAGUUUAUGCUAAGUUCCAUGUACAUACCGCGUGGAGGCUCAGCUUAGAAAAGAUGAAAUGAGCAACGGGCCUAAUAGGCCCUGGAAAGCCUCCCGGUGCAUUACGCAAUGAUGAGCUUCCCUACGGAAAAUGUGGACGGCCCAAGAUGAGGCCUAUGACUAAUCUCACAAGUUUUCUUUUUGGAAGAAAUUGUCUUGUCCAAAAACACUUUUUAUAUCUUCUUCUUUGCAGUGUGUAUGUUGUGUUUUUUUUUUACCAUACCUUUGGUUAAGGAUCGGACAAGUGAUACUCCAGUCUCGUUUUUUUUCUUUUUCUGUAUUAGUUAGAUUAGAUUAAUUAUCCCAUUUCAUUUAUGUUUGGUUGACAGGAUAAAAUAAUUCAUACAUGUUUUGUGUUUGGUUUAAGGGAUUUAGAUAUAUGGGGUGGAUGUCGUUUUUCCUUCCAUUAGCAGCCAGUGCAUCCACUUAUCAUAUAUUGACUGACUUAUCUAUCACACAAUGCUUCUAUUUUUUCAUCGACUUUAUCUUCUUCCACAAAGCAUCACUCACUUGCGUCACCUGCCAGUGAAUUGAAGCUUCUUUUUUCCACAUUGCCGCCCAGUCGCCCACCCAUGGAACUUCUCAACCACGCCACCUGCAGAGCUGCCCGACCACGACGCCUGCAGGAGACGACACCAUAAUCAGUGCAAGAGUGAAGUCUUGUUGGGGGAAGAUCAAGUCCUUCCCUCAUCAUCAUCAUCAUCUCCGAAGCAUGUUCAUUUAGAUUGGAGAUGAUGAGAGGGGCAAUAAAAACUCCCUCUAUAUUAGUUCGAAAGAAGCCGAAAUUUCAUUUCCAAAAAAACUUGUUUAUUCAUGCAAACAUGCAAAUGUGAUGUAUAAUAAAAGCAUAAAAGAAGAUAAUACUCGCUCCAUGUAGGAGAACCAGAUACAACAUAGGAGUAUAUACUACAGAGUUAGGCCAGAUCCUUUAAGUUUCUCUUUCACAAUGCAAUCUAACUUCCUCCCCAUCUCUUCGUUUAUGUGAUUCUGCCAAUCACCCACCUUUGCUUUCCUAAAGUAUGCUGAAUUCUCAAUAACCAUGUUGCCGUGUCGAAAAAACUCUCCUGUUUUGUUGACAUACAAGCUACUAAGCUUCUCAAAGCUGCACAACCUCACCAUCUCAUCUGGUACCCCAUCCUCUUCUUCCUUAGUACUAAAUGGGACACCAAUAAAUGCCGCGAUCUUUAUGACAUGUUUUACCGGAUCUGACAACAUUUCUUCGUACUUUAAGGCCUUGUUUAGAUCUAAUUUUUUUUUGAAUUUUGAUACUAUAGCACUUUCGUUUUUAUUUGACAAACAUUGUCCAAUCAUGGAGUAACUAGGCUUAAAAGAUUCGUAUUAUUUGACAAACAUUGUCCAAUCAUGGAGUAACUAGGCUUAAAAGAUUCGUAUCGUGAUUUACAGGUAAACUGUGCAAUUAGUUAUCUUUUUUAUCUAUAUUUAAUAUUUCAUACAAGUGCCGCAAAAUUCGAUGUGAUGGGGAAUCUUGUAAAAUUUUGGAUUUUUGGAUGCAUCUAAACAAGGCCUAAGAAGAGUACCCUAUCGGGCAUCGCAAUGCUCUCCCUCCAAUAUUCAAGACAAUGAUCCCAAAAAGACCCAUAACCAGAGAAACCUUUGGAGAACAUGUUGAAAGCUGUUUCCAAAUCAACACUAUGUCCCUAUGAACCUUAUUAUCAUAGCACCAUCGAGACACGAAUGCAUCCUUAGGGUCUCGACAGAUGUACACAACCCGACAACCACAAGUUGUAGACUUUGGAAACAACGAGAGAGGCAAAUGGGUGGCGAGAAGCCUUGGGGAUGGGAGAUUCUCUAGGUAUGUAAAGUAUGUAUUUCGAGGAAUCUCUAUGAAUGGCACCACCUCCUGGGGAUGGCAGAAGAGAAGAGGGUGGUUGUCAAAAUCAUACUGGAAGCGGUUGGUGACUGCGAAGGCGGGUGCCGCACUUGGGGUUGCUAGCAAGGAUGAUGUCAUCGUGGCGAGGUUUGAAGCUAUUUUGGAGGCACAGUACGCUCUCCACAAAGUAGGGACGGAGCCAGUAGUUCUUGUAGAGCACCAUCCGCUCCGACAACCCCUCUCUUGAUGGGAGUUUGGAUAUAAGAUCAGCAACAUGGCUUUCUAAUGAAAUGGCUUCAUCAGAUGAGCUGUUCUUGGAGCUUCCAUGCUCGGCUUGCUGUGACAUUGCUUAGCUACUUUUUGAAGUUUUUGCAGUCUCUCGCUGCUCGCUUGGAUAGGCGAAGGGAGGUGGUGUAGAUUGAGCUGAUAGACUCGUGCCUGGCUAACAGAGAGCAUAAAUAUAUAUUAUAGCACAACACAUGUAUAUUCUACCGGAGAUAAGAUAGCGGAGGUAGGUGUGGCAAGUCGAUCGUGAUACACCUGCAGUUAUUGGUCACUGACAGCCUCAUAACUGCAGAGACUCACCGACCGCUAGGUGGUGUUGAAUAUAUCUCAGUUGGGCAGAAGCAUGCAUGAUGCACACUGAAACGCUCAAUCACAUCUGCCUACACUGUCGCGCAUCUUCGUUCCCAAAACCCAGAGUCAGUACUACAAAAAAAGAUAACAGAGGCAUGCAAAAAUAGCUUAACCGAGGCAUUUUGGCCGACCACCUUUAUCAAAGGUCACGGUUAAUUUGACUUUUUCCGAGGCGAUUUGAUGCACGUCUCGGUUAAUAAAAUAAAAAAAACAAAAAAGUGGAUAAGCCCAACAAGGCCAUCGAUGGGCCCGCCGAGCCCAUCCGCACUGUUAUUCGCUAGAUCCGCCAUUGUUGGUGCCCUGUCGUAGAUCCACAGGCAGGGGAGGAAGGAGCACCGCCAGCCUACUCAUCGCCUAGUGGGGUGGAUCAGCCGCCGCACCCCAACACCGGCUCCUUGGCCCGUGCAGAAGCUCCGCCCGGUCCACCAUUGAGGAGGACAACGUGGCGGAGAAGGGGCGCCACCGGUCUGCCACACCCACGCCGCACCCCGAUGACGGCUGUCGCAGAGGAGGACGACAUGGGAGGAGGGGCGCCACUGGUCCGUCGUCGAGGGCGCGUCCUCCUGGCCAUCGAGGUCACGGCCUCCUGGCCGCCAGGGUCGCGACCUCCUGGCUGUGGGGGCGCGGCCUCCUGCUCGCCCAGUGCGCGGGCCCCUGCCCUGGAUACAUGCCGGUGAGUAGGAGAGAAAGAGCGAGAGAGAGAGAGAGGUCAAUGUGUGUGAGAGAGGAGUGAGAGAGAGAGGCACAAAGGAGAGGGGGCUCCCAGCGGUGCUGAGGAUUGGGGGUGGUGAGAGAGGAGAGGAGAUUGAGUGGAUGGCUAGGGUUUUCACGUUUAUAUACUGUGACCAAGAUUUGGGCCGAGAUGGACUUUUGAUGGGUCUCGAGAAUAUUAAUCGAGACGGGUCUUAUAACUAACCUGUCUCCGAAAAUAGAUGUAUUUUUGGAUCGAUUAAUAUAUUUUAGGAGGCGUAAAUCGAUUUUACGAGGUGGUUUUUGUAACCGACUUGGUUAAUAAAAACUUACCACCUCAGUUAAUCUGAGGCAUUAACCGAGACGGUUGAAAUUUUUGUCCGCCUUCGAGGGGGUUUCAAAAGGUCAUGGUUAAUGUUUUUUUUGUAGUAGUGAGUUUUCACCAUCUAAUCUCCCCGGAAAAAGGAAGCUCACCUUCUAUAUCCCUGAAGAAAACGUCUACAUAAUAAUGUUCUGUUUUCGUUAUUAAUAAUCAGCAUAGGAAGUAGCUUAGAGUCAAAUUUAAGUUGCUCCUGGACACAAGGGACAAUGACACAUACUACAUCGAGAGAUCGAAUACAAUCUUUAUGAUAUCGUCAUUGCAAUGCUGAUAGAUCUGCUAUAUAUAUCAUGACGAAGUGUCAGUGUAGUAAUUGCUACGCUUUCAUUUGAAGGAAAUGGUGCUUUACUCGCCUUGCUACGUAACUCAGUUGAUUGGAAAAACAAAACAAAACGAAGAAGGAAUCGUAUAUCCAUCCAUCCAUAACUCUGCUUUGCUUUGUUUUUGUUUUGCCUCAACCUAAACUGCUUGUAUUUCACUUUUGUUUUUAAUAUAUUUUUACAGUAGGCGACUCUGGUUCCUCCUGAUUACUCAAAAAAAAAAGAGAGAGAGAAAAAAGGGAACAGGUAAGAUAGAACCAGACUGCACGGAGCGCUGUAGUUGUGCUUGCACCUGUUAAGGUUCAUGAAGUAUAAUCAACUUUCUUUUUGCGUGGAUCUACUUGCACCCCCUACACUACGGGAUUUUGGUAUUUUAGCCAAGAACAAGAGCUAUCACCGUGGUAAUAACCCAGUUCCCUUUGGCAUGUUUGUAUGACUGGAAUUUCAGUAAAAAUAACACGUGUUAUUAAGGGUGUUGCAUUUUUUUUUGUUUGUUGACAUGGCACCACAAUAGAGCUGAAAAAUGAAAGAUAAUAUCUCCUUCUAUGCUCUUAGGAUGUGUUUGGUUUCGGAAUCAUGUGGAAUGGAUUGGACGACCUAGGUUGAGAUAGACCCAUCUCAUGUUUGGUUCGAGAGAUGGAGCCAUUCCAUUAUGUUUGGUGCGAGGGAUGAAGUGGGUUAGGAUGGAUAUCAUUGUCAACACCGUUACCUGCUAUGUAUGCGUGGGACUCAGCUGUCAUCCACUUUCUUCACUUCUUCCUCCUCUCGUCGUUCACCAGGUGCAGAGCACCACAGCCCCUGUGCUGGCCCGCUACGAGCGUGCUGCCCCGUUCGGUGCCCUGACCCACCCUAAUGCUGCCCUACCCCGGCGGCCCAGUGCCGCCCCGUGCUGUCCUCUCUACAACCAAACAAGAUUUCCAAUGCAGUUGUCCUCUCUACAACCAAACAAGAUUAAUUUCCAAUGAGGAUGUGUCUUGUGUCUCUGCCAAACAAGAUUUCCAAUGCAGUUGUCCUCUCUACAACCAAACAAGAUUAAUUUCCAAUGAGGAUGUGUCUUGUGUCUCUGCCAGCAGCUAUAUUUGUCUAUCUAUAUUUCUAGAAGAAAGCAGCAAAAAUUGGACUUCUCAAAUAAAGUUUGGCAAUGGGUGAUACUUUGUUGAUUCGAUGCUUACAUGAAGAACAGCAGUGAUCAAGACAAUACUUGUUCACAUUAUUAUAGCACAUGUCUCGAUCGAUCUGUCGACCCCAUCCAUCUCUGUCUUGUCUUCCACGAGGCAAUCUAACUAAUUUGUCCCCAUCACAUGUGCCAUUUUUUUGACAAGUCAUGUGUCAUACUCCCUCCUGAAGAACGGUGACUUGACAGCCACCGUAUCAUCCCUUCAGCAAUGUAUAUAUCCUGACGAUUUGUUGUGUGCAAGUAAGCUAUUCCCUUUGCUUCAAAUUAUAAGAUAUUUUAAUUUUCUAUAUUUGUUGUUUUUGCUAUGCAUUUAGAUAUACACUUUGUCUAACAAUAUGUUUAGAAAUGCUAAAAUGUCUCCGAUCGCGAAAAAAAAAAAUCUGGAACGGAUACCAACUAAGCUCCCAAGGAACCCCAUCUUAUUUUUCUUUGAGAGUGAUGAAACAUAUUUCACCACUGCUUUCUGAUCUCUCCGAUACUCGAGGCUCAUGUGAAGGCCAAAAGGGUAACAAGGAACAAUUUUUUCAGUGAGAAUUUCUUUGAACAAACUACUAGAAACAUGAGGUGUUUGUUGAUUAUGGGCUAGAUAACCCUUGUACCUUGGAAAUUGAAAUCCCGUUUCCAAAUCUUACAAUGGACGACUCUUGUUUAUUCAUGCAAAAACGAAAAUGUGAUAAAAAACAUACAACAAGAUAUAGAAAAAUAGAGAUACAUAUUAUAGCACAAGGCCUGAUCCUUUGAGCUUCUCUUCCACAAUGCAAUUUAGCUUUCUCCCCAUCUCCUCGCUCAUGUGAUUCACCCAGUCACCCACCUUUCCUUUCCUAAAAUAUGAUGACUUCUCAAUAAUUAUGUUACCAAGCCGAGCAAAUUCUCCUGUUUGGUUGGUAGACAAGCUACUAAGCUUCUCGAAGCUGCACAACCUCACCACCUCCUCGGGUAUCCCAUCCUCUAUUUCCUUAAUACUAAAUGGGGCACCCAAGAACGUUGCAAGCCUUAUGACAUAUUUUGUUGGCUCUAAGGUCAUAUCCUCAUACUUGAGGAAAAGAACCUUAUCAGGUUUUGCAAUACUCUCCCUCCAGUACUCGAGGCAAUGGUCCCAAAAAGGUCCAUUGCUCGAGAAGCCUUCAGUAAACAUGUUGAACGCUGUUUCCAUGUCAACACAUUGUCCCCUAUGCAUCUUAUUGUCAAAGUGCCACCGAGACACAAAGGCAUCCUUAGGGUCUCGACAGAUAUACACAACUCGACAACCACAGUUGACUAUGGACUUUGGGAACAAUGUAAGAGGCAUAUGAGUGGCGAGAAGCCUUGGUGAUGGGAGGUUCUCCAAAUAGGUAAGGUUCUCAUGGCUAGGGGCCUCUAUGGAUGGUACCACCUCUUGAGGAUGAGAAAAAAGAAGAGGGUGGUUGCCAAACUCAUACCGGAAGCGGUUGAUGACUGUAAAGGCGAGGGCUUUCAGCCAUGUGGUGCCGCACUUGGGGUUUGUAGCAAGGAUGACAUCUUCGGGGCGAGGUUUGAAGCCAUUUUCGAUGCGCAGUCUGCUCUGUACAAAGUACGGGCGGAACCAGUAGUUCUUGUAGAGCACCAAUGGCUCUGACCACCCCUCUCUUGUUGGGAGUUUGGAUAUGAGACGCAUAGCAUGGCUUUCGAAUGAAAUGGCUUCGGACGAGCUAUCUGUGGCAUUUCCACCCUGAGCUUGUGACAUAGCUCAACAACACUCGUGGAGUUUUUCCAGUCUCCCCUCGAUGGGAGGUUUGGAUGGGCAUGCAUGCAAGAGACCGGUGCAGAUGGCGCGAAUUGAGCUGCGUUGCUUUUGCUCGCGCGGAGUAUAAAUAGCCCAGGCAUCAUGUCUCGCCAUUUAUCUAAUUAAGGUAAGCACCAGAUGCAUGCAUGACUGUAGUGCAUGAGCUGGUGAAACCAUGGAAUUAAUGCAUGAUGAAUAGUAUAGUAAUUCACAUGUCAGAGGAAAUUUACAAGUAUAAAAUAUCCAGCUCGUUCUUAAAUCUAUGAUUGAGUGUCUCGAUCUAUCCGAUUAGCUGUUUUGAUAAUUAAGUCGGAUAUAUGUCUUAUCGCUAAUACUAUCCAAUAGAUAUCUGAAUAUUAUAUAACAACAAGGUCAACCAAACAAUAAAUUCCUGUACGUAUUUGAGAGCUAGUUCAUGGGGACAAAUCUGAUUUGAAUAUUAUACAUCAUAUCAAAUCAGUUGAAUGUGACAUUUAUCACUAAAAUUUCUUUUAGACGUGGUAUUAUUUAUUACUAUAUAUUGGAUUUAUCAACCCAAAUCAAAAUAAUUGGCAUUUAUUAGAGAAUCAAAUUUGCUACUUCUGUUUUCCACGCAACAUUUUACCUAACAAUAAUUCAACGAAAAAACUUGUGAUUCUUGUUCCUAGAUUUAUUUCAGGAUUUAACGGCGCUAUGCUUUUAGUUCCUCCAUUGAAAGCGAGGCGCCAGUGUUGACUUCGUGAUUCUCGAGACCUGUCGGCUCAGUCAUUCGGAGGUGCUCAUAGGGGUAGAGUUUGUGUACGUACGUUCAUAAAGGUAAGUGUGCGUGCGUGUUAUGGGCGUCUGCGUUGUACUGUGUAAUUCUCAAAAUAAAAAGUAUGACUUUGAUGGAUUACUAUACCUCAUAUUUACAUGAUAUAUACGUAAAUCUCGAGCACACAAUUAAAUUGAUCUUUGGCACUCUGAGUAUUUAUCCUAGUGUCUUGUUUGACUGUAGUCGAACUACUUCAAUCCACAUGUAUUGGGGGUGGAUUGAAGUGCAGGACAAGAAUUGGAGAUUGGGACGUUGUCCAAGUGUGUCGAGCCAGUUUCUCUAAUUUUGGAGAGAUCAAAUCAAGCCGCAUUUACUGUGAACAAUCCCUAUGCGGGGAUGACACCAACCUAAAUAGCCCACUAAGCCCAGGCAUGGCUUUCGAAUGAAAUGGCUUCUAUCCGUGGCACUUCCACCCUGAGCUUUUGUGACAUACUAGCUCAACAACACUCUGGAGUUUUUCCAGUCUCCCUCGAUAGGAGGUUUUGAUGGGCAUGCAUGCAAGAGGCCGGUGCAGAUGGUGCGAAUUGAGGCGUAUCUACACUAGGGAUGAAAACGGUACGGAUAUUUUCCGACCGUAUUCGAGACCGAAUUCGUUUAGAGGGAUUUAAAUCUGUCCGUAUCCGAGUCCGAAUACUCAACAUCCGAUACCGUAUCCGAAUAUUUAAAUUAUAUAUUUAUGAUGUCGACAUUCAAUUCUAUCUUAUCCGAUAUGAUUGACAUUAUGCGUAUUCGAAUCCGAAUCUGACCAGAAAUAUGAAAACAAAUCUGAUAUCGGUGAUAUCCGUUCGUAUUCGAUCCGUUUUCAUCCCUAAUCUAAACGUACGUGAGCGAGAGGCCAAUAACGCCAACUGCAACUGCAAGGCCAACACAGUACACGACGCACCUCGCCGCUGUCGGUGUGCAGUUGGUGGUUGUUUGGUUGGCGUUGGUCGACGAGAAGCUGCCACGCAGGAGCAUUAUAUUGCUCGCUCUCGAUCUCGGGUGUCUGACGUACGUCUCCUCGCUUCAAAUUGGCAAAUUGCUUAUGUACUUGCUCAUGAGUUUGACAGAAUUUGCUUGCAUCUUUACCUCUUCACCGGAGAUUUCAGUUUUCUCAGUCUCCCAAGCGCCUCCAUCUCCGGAUGUUUCCAACUACAUGCGUGGUGCUUUUUUUUUUGUGUGUGCAGCUAGCUUGACUUUUGCUCUUUGCUGAUAUUAGAAUCAGUUUGGCCGACUUCUAAAGUUGGCUUAGUCGAUUUGUUUUGUAACAAUAGCACUAAUAGUUGAUUUUUUUUGUCCACAGGAGUUUGGGCUUAUCCUCUAAGCUCCAAAAAAUUGAUAGUGAUCUUAAGGCUCUCCCACCUCACGAUUUGGUUCGCCAAUUAUCAUAUUUUAUUUUAAUAGUGGAAUAAGCUUAUUUCAACCAAAUCAAAAACAUCAGAUUAUUUAUUUCCAGAAUUAGUUUUAGCCAAGGACAUCUCCAUCAAGCGUAGCUUGUUUGUCCAAUUUUGCCUCUACUGAUUUUCUAAAUCGAUAAACAGAUUCGUGCAAGUUGGUUUAGGAGGCGUCACAUGAAAGACUCAUGCAAUGAGACCAUGCUCAGUGACUUUGGAGAGCCAGGCAUCACCGUAAUAUAAGGCAAACAAACAAGCACAUGCAUGGUUGCUGCUGUCCUGUCAUCGAUUCGAGAGGUAUGGACUGAAUUUGGUGUGUAUGCGCAGGAGCAGGACGUAUAAUGCCACCCUCUCUUAAAUUGGACCUAUCGGUUUCAAUAAGCACUGAAGAGGCCAAUCUGAAUUGAUUAGCAAAUACAUGUUUUGAUCAUAAUGAUACUGAAUUGGCCUUCCACAUUGGGGUCGACUAACGGCGGAUGCCGAUCCACUAGUACGUGGAUCAUGAGUUAAUUAACAAUAGGAGCACCAAAAUUCUUUCCUCUAAUUCAUCAAAUUUGAAAGAGGGGAAUCCUCAGCACGUACCAAAUUUAAUUUAAGGACAAGCUUCACACCUACCCACCAGUACUCUCUCCAUACCUGUAUUACAUGUCGUUCUAGGUGACCCUUCUGACGUGUUGAGCGUGUAAACACCUGCACAUGGACGCGUUUGCCCCAGACCAACUUUUUGUUGGCGUAUGCACCUUUUUGUUGGCGUAUGCACAGGGCUAGCUCCGCUCGACAUGCAAUUAAUCUCGGCCGCCCGGCGUGCUGGCGUCGAGGCACACUAAUUGCUUGCAACACUCGCCUCCAACAAAACCAAGCCCCACUCAAAAAAAAAAUAAGUGGCUACCAACAAGCUUCACACCUACCGAGUACUCCCUCCAUAUCUGUAUUACAUGUUGUUCUAGAUGACCCUUCUGAUUUCAUAAAGGUUGACGUUGAGCGUGUAAACACCUGCACAUGGACGCGUUUGCCCCUGACCAACUUUUUGUUGGCGCAUGCACAGGGCUAGCUCCGCUCGACAUGCAAUUAAUCUCGGCCGCCCGGCGUGCUGGCGUCGAGGCACACAAUUGCUUGCAACACUCGCCUCCAGCAAAACCAAGCCCCACUCAAAAAAAAAAAAUGGCUACUAGGAAUCGAACACAGCUUGCUAGAGUCACACCUCGAUACACUAACCAUCUGAGUUAAGAAAAUUUCUUGUAUAAAGUGCACCCGCAUCUCUAUUUAAUAAGGGCAAGGAUGGAAAGAUACCCCUAAUUAAUCACUUCUUGGUAAGCAUAAUCCUGUCCUAAACGUCAACUAAUAUAGGUACGGAGUGAGUAUAAUUUAAGGACAAGCUUCACACCUACCAAGUAUAAUUUGAGGAUAAGCUCCACAAUCUACCAAAUUUAUUUUUUUACCAGAUAUAACCAGCAGACAUUUCGCCAUUUCCAUAUAUCUGCUUUGAAACUUGAUAGAGUGAUAAAGCGCAUUUACAUUUCCAAAAUGAAAUGGACUCGUUUAUUCAUGCAAAAUGGAAAAAAACGAUGUCAAAUCAUACAAGACAAAAUGGGAAAAAAUGAGAUACACGUUAAAACACAAGGCCAGAUCCCUUGAGUUUCUCUUCUAUAACGGAAUCUAUCUUUCUCCCCAUCUCUUCACUAAUGUGAUUCACCCAAUCCCCCACGAUUCCUUUUCUAAAGAACACCGACUUGUCAAUGACCAUGUUGCCAUGCCGAGCGAUGUCUCCUGCUGCCUGAUUGGCAUGCAAGCCGCUGAGCUUCUCGAAGCUGCAUAAUCUCACAACCUCCUCAGGCACCCCAUCUUCUUGUUCCUUAAUACUGAAUGGGACGCCAAGGAACGAUGCGAUCCUUUUGACAUACUUCACUGGUUCUGAUGUCAUAUCCUCAUACUUGAGAAAAAGAACCUUGUCAGGACUUGCGAUGCUCUCCCUCCAGUACUCGAGGCAGUGCUCCCAAAAAGGACCAUAGGGUGAGAAACCUUCACAGAACAUGUCAAGAGCAUCUUCCACAUUGAUGCUAUAUUCUCUACUAAUCUUAUUCUCAAAAUGCCAUCGAGACACAAAGGCAUCCUUUGGCCCUCGGCAGAUGUACACAAUCCGACAACCACAAGUAGUUAUGGAGUUUGGGAGCAAUGAAAAGGGCAUAUGGGUGGCGAGAACUCUUGGGGAAGAGAGCGUGUCCACAUAAGUCAGCUCCACGCCAAGAGGGAUCUCGAUAAAUGGAAUCACCUCCUGGGGAUGACGAAAGAGAAGAGGGUGAUUUCCAAACUCAUACCUGGAGCGAUUGGUUAUUGUGAAGGCGAGCGCCUUCAACCAUGUGGUGCCACACUUAGGGUUGGAUGCAAUGAUGAUAUCGUCUUGGCGAGCUUUAAAACUGUUCUGGAGGUGCAUGAUGUUAAUAGCCAUUGGCGGACGGAUCCAGAAGUUCUUGUAGAGCACCAGUGGCUGUGUCCAACCCUCUCUUGUUGGAAGUUUGGAGAGAAGAUGGGUACUGUGGCUUUGAGAUGAAAUGGCUUCGGACGAGCUAUCUGUGGCGCUUCCCUCCUUGGCUUGUUCCAUGGUUCUACUGCUAUUCAUGGAGUUGAUGUUGUACUCUCUACAGCAGGGAUGGAGUGGGUGGGUUGCGGCCUGCGCAGCAUAAUAAAUAGAGAGAAAACACUAGCUUGCAUGUAAGGGGAGCCAAUGCUUUAUCUGUUGUUCCAAAAAGAAAAGGUUAAGCAGCCGCUACUUUUGUAUGACUAAUAAUAACACAUAUCCGUGCGCUAGAAUGAAAUUAGGACAUUUAGCUUAUUGCAUGAUUAUCCAGACAUAUUUAUUUAGUAAUUAUAGCCAGAAAAAUGGUUGAUGCUAAUUCUGAUAUAUACUGAUUUGUUAUAAGAGAAAAAUAAUAUUAUUUUGCUGAAACGGUAUUGCUGAUAAGUUCAAGCAAACUGGGUGUUGUGAUACGACUAGGUACUCUCUCUAUCCCAAAAUAGAUGUUAUUAUCACUUUCUGGAAAGUCGACUUUUUUAAAACUUUGACAAGUUAUAUAUUAAAGAAUAUUUAUAUUUAUAAACAUAAUUAGUAUCAUUGAUAGAUCAUUGAAUAUACUUUCAUAAUAAAUUUAUUUAGAGAUAUAAAUAUUGUAAAUAUUUUUUACAAAUCUAGUUAAAGUUAGUAUCCUAUAUGCUCAUCUAUUUAGGACUGAGGGUAUGCCACGGUGUAUAUGCUGCUCUGCUAACUUGUAGGUACUAGAGGUUUAGAGAUUUAUCUGUAAUCAUAUCAGUACAUUCUAAUUUGUUUUGAGAUCGGACUCAACACCAUACCUUUAUCUUGUACCAGGACGAGACAGAAUGACAAACUCUGAAAAUGCUUUGUAUUUCAUUUAUUUUAUUUUGAAAUCGAACUUCUUAUCGUACUUGGACAUGCUACUCUAUUUUGCAUAUAGACACAGGAGCGAGAUUGAAUCCAUCGGAUCCCUAUGGAACGGGUGACCGAUGAACGAGGAAGAACGUUUUCUAUCUUUGGAUUAGCUCGUGCUUUUUUUUAACAGAAAUCAUAACCGCGUGAUUAGCGAGGGUAUUUUUUCUAAUAUAAAGACGACUGUUGCGUCCCACAUAUCUUCGUCAUGGCAGAUUAAAAAUAUCGAUCACAGGUAUAGGAUGAACUGAUGAAUGCAUGUGGUUGGUGAAACGUCGCCUCUCGUUGCUCUCCUGUCGCAAUUAAUUUCUCUUGUUCAGGUCUUGUUUAGUUACACCAAAAAUUUUAAAACUUUUUCAAAUUUUCCAUCACAUCGAAACUCACAACACAUAGAGUAUUAGUUAUAUAUAUAAAAUAACUAAUUAUAUAAUUACCUAUAAUUUGCGAGACCAAUCUUUUAAAUCUAUAUUAGCCCAUAAGUAAGUAAUAAUUACCAAUAUAAACAAAAAUUUUAUAAUACCUAAAACUUUUUCACCUAGAGAACUAAACAAGACCUUACUUAUAUAAAUAGGUCAUGAGCAGAUAUAUCUUCCUAGCGACGAGUGUCGGUGUUACGUCUUGGGGCCUGCCUACGUCACAAGUGGGCUAAUUAAUUAUAGACGACAGGAUAGGAAAUAGUUUUAUAUAAUCACUUCGACCGUACUUAUCAUGAAAUAGUAUUUUUCUCUCAUAACAUUUUAACAUAAAUAUUAGUAUAAAUCAAAUUUUAACGAAACAAACAUGACAAGAACUUACAGAUAUGCAAUGUUCACCAUCUUUGUUCCCAAAGGCACAAAAAUGACUCCUACAUUCAGCUAAGCCAUAUUUUAAAUGGAGACCGGCAUAUAUUUUGCCUGUCACCAUUAUUCCAUGUCGAUUAAUGAAGGCGGAUAUUUUUAUUUAUAGAGAUGAAGACUUUUGCCCGUCUCUAGAAACUGAUCUAUGGAGGCGGUUAUUUUAUAGACUGGCUCUAAAAAUAAUCUAUUUUCAGGCGGGCAUCUUUAGCCAACCGCCUCCGAAAAUAAUUGGCCAAUCGCCUGGGCCAACCGCCUCCAAAAAGUAAUGGAGACAAGACACAUUAUAACGCCUGCCUUCAAAAAGGCCAAGCCCCAACAGACCCAGGCGAGCCUAAUAAUCAUCUUUGACCGUAAUUUGAAGGAGACUUAGGCUUUCUCCUCACUCCUCUCUUACUCAGACUUAGCCCCUCGAUCUCCUUUCCCCCUCAAGAAUCGCCGUCUCCUCCGAGCGGCCAAGCGACCCUCCCUCUGCCUCCUUGUGACCUCCCUCCCCUCCGUUUGAGAUUGAGCCCCAACGCCACCCCUUCUCCCUCACUCGCCCCUCUUUUUCACUGUCCCUCUUGGUGGCGCAAGGGCAGCUCCUAUUGGCGGUGGCAGCAUGUUGGGCACACAACGACCAUGGCAUGAAGGGCUUGGAGCUCUCUCAGUAAGGAACAAAAACCCUGGAGCAUUCACCGGACGCAUCCGACGCUGGGGCAUUAGAUGCACCCAACGUCAGAUGCUCACUCUCCCUUGAGCUCACCACUUUGCCCAAGAGUAUCGGACGCUCCGAUGAUGAAGUGUCGGAUGCUCCGAUGCGCAGGUCUAUUUGUGCCUACCGGUGUUGCACUCGUCGGGCGUGGGCUUAGCGUUUGACGCUAUCUGACCUAGUGUUCGAUGAGUGUUUCUCAGCAAGAAACGCUCACACGACUUCACCAAAACUUUCCUCUGGCACAAUUGAAAAUAAGCAAUUCAUUUUCACAAAAGCGUUGAAUCACGCCAUGUUUGAGAGAGACCCAACUCCUCUCCACCUCUUCAACCCUUGCUCAAAAGUGUUAACCACCAAGUGUAAAACCUUAUGCACGUGUGUUAGCAUAUUUUCAAAAAUAUUUUUAAGGGUUAAGUCAACACACUAGGUUCUAAAUGCAUGCACAUGACUAAUAACAUGUAGUGGCACUCGAUAGACCGCUUAGACAAGAAAUUCUCCUCUUUAUAGUAUGGCUAUCUAUCUUAAGUGUGAUCACACCCUCUAUAGUGUCUUGAUCACUAAAACCAAAACCCUAAGCAAUACCUUUGCCUUGAUCUCCAUAGGGUUUUGUUUUUCUCUUUCUUCUUUUCCAAGUUGAGCAGUUGAUCACCUUGUGGUCAUCACCACCAUCAUCAUGACCAUCUCUUACUCAACCACUUGACAUGUACCAACCUUAUCUAAUCUACACAUACUUAGCAUAGAGGUUAGUAUUUUGGGUUUAUCAAUUAACCAAAACCAAACUUAGGCUUUCAACAGCCUAGUAGGGCACGACACGGUAUGGCCCGCGACCCUGCGUGCCACCGGGGCGUGCCUCCACAAUACACCAUGCUAAGGUGACGGCCUAGGCACGACAUGUGGGCUGUUUUUUGUGCCGUGCCAACCCGUGGAGCACGGGACCCAAAACUAUAUCAGGCCAUCCAGUAGCCUGCUAUAUAAGAAAUCCUAGCUUCAAUACAAUUUUCAAAUUUAUACAAGUCACAACUCAUCAGUCAUCACAAGAUAUACAUGUAACACUUACAUCAUAGAUCACAAGUAAACUAACUUCAAUACUUCAUAGAUCACCAGAAGGGUCACAAAACACAGAAAGAUGAAAGCCUAGAUGAUUAAAACUUGAGUUGUUCGUUGUAACACCUCUCGUGUUAAGCAACACUAAAACAUGCUCAUGACAUCAUUAUGCAUAAGUAUGUCAUUUAGCUAACUAUGUGGUGCAUUGAUUAAAACAAGUUUACUUUGAGAAUGUUUGAGCUUAGGGUAGAGUGUAAUUCAAAUCCUAAAACCCUAAUUUGUAAUGUAACCUCAAAUACUUUGUUAUGCCCUAUGUAAGUUGAGGGGUAAAGUGGUACUUUACCCUAGUGUCAAGUGUAGGGGAUAACUUCGAGUCUAACCCCUAAAAAAUUGCCCCACUUGUCAACUUGGUUGGACUCCAAAACUUGUUGCAAGUUUUCCGAUGCAAACCCACGUUCAGGAUUGAGGGAAAUAUCAAGACGACUUAUAAAUGAAAUAUUGUGCACCCAAAUGUGACUUUGAAUAAAAACCCUUGGGUGGAGCUCAAUGGAGCAUUUGAGUUGUUGGUGUGAUCACUAAUUAAACAGUAAUUAUGUUGGAAUUUAAUUUGUGAGAGGUUUAAUUAGGAAAAACACUGAUUUUUCUGCCUCUACUUUUACCACAUUUUGUGUGAUUCAAAAUGUAAGCAAAAUUUGGGGUUGAACAUAAAUCAAAGUUGUAGAUCUGGUUGAGAUGUACAACUUUGGUGUUUCGCGUUUUCAAAGUUCCAAUGCAAAAUCCAAAGUAAUUUUGAAAAUACAUAUUUCCAUAAAUUGUCCCCCUUUGAUUUCAAACUUGUAUUUAAAAAUUUGUUUGGAAUUUUGAAAUGUAGCCGAAAGGAAACUUGUAGGGCUUUUCAAAAACAACAAGUUUUUUUUGGAUUUUUUUCAAGUUGUUGAGUAAAUUUUAAAGUAAUUUUGGAAAUUUAUAAAAGCCGCAAUUCAAUUUGAAGUUUUCUCCCUUGCUGUUUUGCUAAAAUUCAAACUCUUAUGUUCAAAAUCAGAGUUGGAGCCUUAAAGUAAUGUUGUACAUAUUUUUAUUCUGCACAACUCUUAUUUUAGCCAUUUCAUUAGUUCUUCUCAAGAUCUAUGAGUAAUUUUUUUUAAAAAAGGAGAGAAAUGGAUAGGCUCGGCUAUAGUAUUCCCACCUAUGGGAACAGAGCACGGCGGCUCCCGGACAGCGCCGCCGCCUUUCGCCUAUGCCAUACACACACCACGUAGCUCCUUCCUUGCUUGAUUGCUCUGCUCUAAACCGUGUCUGUCCUCAUCCACUAAGCACAAAAAUUGCCACAACACUGUUUCUCUUGCUCUCCCUUUUUGCUCACCGCCUCCACUGUUGUUCUCUUGCCACCACCGUGUAGCGCUGCUCCUACUUCAGUUCCAACCAAAACAAGAGCAUCACUGAUUCGCCUGCUCUGUGUGUUGCCCCAGAAUCUCAUGAGGUGCCCUUAGCCCCUCCUAGUCCCUUGGUUGGCCCUCUUCUUCCUCAAGGCCGGUAGAGCGCCGUCGACCGCCCCCCUUCGACGUGUGUCUUCCCAGUCUAGCAGGUGCUACUUCCUCUCAGUGAGCUCCUAGUUCUUUCUAUCCUGUUGGAUUCAUUGUUGUGCCGUGGUGAUGGGUUCACGGUGCGCGGCAGGGCUUUGCUCCACCGUGCCACCGACUACGUAGCCCCAAUCGCCCGGUAUCCCUUCGAGUUGGUUGAGAGCAUAUCUGGGUGUGGGAGGAUGAUGAGAUCGUGUUGGAAGGCUAAGCUUCACUAGGGAGUAGCUCAUCGGCGAUUAGCCGGAUGGCAUGCUCGCCUCCAGCCACCACAUUGCUGAAUGAAGAAGAAGACGUCGUGCCCCGCUUGUCAGGGACCUAGGGUGGAUGUGAAGCAGGUAGGAAGGGGUCGGGAUGGAGCUGGGCUAUGUGGGCUGAGGAACGGGCCAGCCGACGCUUAGUAGUUUUCCCCUUUUUCCAAAAUGAAUUAAAGGAACUUUUUUUAUAAUUUUGUAGAGAAAUAAAUACAAGUCCAAAAAUUAUGAAAAUUUUUGGACAUGCUCUUAGUACUGAGUAGAACAUAGAAAAAAUCAUUUCCCAAAGGAACCCACUUACCCCGACAACCAAGGCAAGCCCCAAAUACAUUAACUUUUCCACUUAAGAAUCUAAAAUGUUGCAUUAUGUAUUUAGGAGUUGAAUGUCAACCUACUUGUUGCAUCAAAAACCUUGUUUCCCAUUCGACUAGCCUUGUUACCUGUUUUAUUUCAAAUGUUUAGUGAUGCUUAGCCUUGCUUAGUGGGUAGGUUUUCAAAUAUAAAAGUUUGAAGGGUUGUUGUGGAAUAACUUUGAUGGUUAAAGAUGUUUCAACUUUAGACUGGUAGGUGGACUUGCCUUGGAAAGCAGUCCCAAAGUAGUGUUUCCGACUAUGUCGAUUAAGGAUCAUUCGUUGUUGGCCUGUUGUGAUUGAGACUUACUGGCCACAUGCCCUGGUAAGCUAUCUUGGCUAUUCUAUCAUGAGAACGUCUACUCGUGCACUAGGAGUGAUAUUAACGCUGACGCCAUAGCUUCCCGCGCACUCGCAUCAUGACCAAGGUGGUCAAUGUCAUUGACUAAAGUCGGGCAAAGAACCCAACAAUAAUGCCCACAAAGCUCCAACAACAAUGUCAAACUAAGUCCCCUCAACUUUGACGAAGCCCCCCCAGUCCUUCUCUUGUUCAUUAUUCAUAAUCUGUUCGAUCCCCACCAACAAUUUGACCUUUGUUGUGGCCGGUUUUUUCUAAUAUAUGACCCUGGCUAUCAUGUUGUUUAGUUUUUCUUGGAGCAGACAACAUUUUGCGAUGAACCUUUUCAUUUGUUUGCUUUGUCUCUACUCUAGGUAGGCGAUUCACCAAGGGUUUGUGAUUUUAGUUGAUUUUAGAUUUCCACAGCCGAUUUUUUGUGUUUUGAAUCGGUUGAUAUACAAUGUGUUGGUGAAUAUUUUGUUAUGGUGUUUUGCUGAAUUAUUUGAUCCCUAGUACGAGAUGUUCUUCGCUUGAUUUGGUUUAUGUAUGUGUCGAUUGAAUCCACAUUGUUUAAGCAUUGGGUGAUGGUUUUCUAGGUGAUAAUUUUGAUCCUCACAUCGAUAUGCUUAACCCCACAUAAUUGUUUAGUUAGUGUUUUGCUACUUCGAAUAUUUAGUAACAUCUUGACUAUCCAAUAGAAGUUCACUGCCUGGUUCUUAGUUUCCUUUUUCUGGCAUUUGCACAUGAAUUUUUGUCGAGUUUUCGUUUGUUAGAUUUAAGUUUUUUGAGGUGAUAUGGAGUCUGAAUUAUGUUGGAGCAUCUCUCAGCUGAUUACUACAAGAAGGUUUAUUGAAUUCUAAAAUGUUUUGUGUUGGAAAAAUAGUUCUUGAACAUGUUUAGUAGAGGAGAGUGGAAGAAGAUGGUUUGGGUUGGCCAACCAGAGUCAAAAGAGACAGCUCCCUUUGCUCUCAUGUUAUUAACAUUAUAUAGGCAAAAGAGAUUUACAAGCAACCUCUCGGUAUGUGUGGGUUUUACAUGCCACUCCAAUGGUGCUAGUUGGGCCUCUUUUAGGGAACUUGCCUCAUGAAUAUGGAAUAUCCCAACAUUCACUACUACCAAAAAAAAACUUUUGCGAGGCAUUUUAGAAUGGACCUCAAAGGCGGGCAAGAUUUCCAACCACCUCGGUUAAAGCCUCAGAUUAACCGAGGCAGUCAUUUUUUUAUUAACCAAGGCAAUUACAAAAAAUGUCUCCCAAAAUCUAUUAACUAAAGUGGGCACUGUAAUAUAACCACCUUGGUUAAUGCCUAUUAACCGAGAUGGGCAUUAUAAUACAACCACCUCGGUUAAUGUAACCGAGGAGGUCAUAAUACAAGGUCUGCCACAGUUAAACAGAAGCCGAGACAACCCAUCUAGAAAUGAGAUAAGCUCAACCAACCCGAUAUCACUAAAUGACUAUAUAUAUAGUGAGGAAGUUAGAAACCAUAGCUUGUUCCUCCCCCAUAGCCGCACCCUCUCUAUUUGUCUCCUAGAUGCGCUCGUCCUCUCCCUCUCCACUCGUGGCACCUCUCUCCCUCUCCACUUGCCCACGCCCUUUCUGUCUCCUAGAUCCCCGACGUGCCCCCUCCCCGAUCAUCCCGAUGGCACCCCUCUCUUCCCCUCUAGGCGGCAGCGUCCAUUCCUCUCCCUACCUUGGUGUCCCCUCCUCUCCCGGUGCCCUCUUCCCCUUCCUACACCCUCUUUCUAGUGGUGAGCACAGGGCGAACAUGUCCGCCAGCCUCGUUCGGGUGAUGCGCUGUGGUGGAGCAGCAGCAGUGGGCACCUUGGCGAUGGUGGCUCCUGGCAGCACGGAUCUCGAUUGAAUUUUUCAAGUUUUAUUUUAUGAUUUAGUUACACUGUGCUUUCUGUAUUCAGUGAUAAGCAACGUCCCCAUCGAUAGCGAGAUGCUUGUAAUGACUUUGUGAGUUUUCAAUGUAUUGUCGGCUUAGUCCUUCGAAGAUGCUCAUAAGGAUAGAAUUUGCAUAAGUGGAGGUGAGUGUGCAUGUGUGUUGUGGGCAUCUACGUUGUACUUUAUAAUUUAAAAAAAUGUGAGAUGGGCCAGCCAAAUGUGGUCUCUAUUAACCAUUUAAAGAGGCAGAGUAAAUUAAUUAACACAUGCGAAUAUCAUGUAGAUUGUUAUUAUCAAAGGUAGGUCUCUUGAGAGUGUAUCCUAUAAAGUUUGUGCUUCAAGAGACCUGCCACUAAAAAUAGUUAGACGAUCUAAACUGAUUUAUAUAUAACUUUUUCAUAAGAAGUGUGAUGUAUUCGAACUUUAUACCAAAAUCGAUCUAUAAACUCUGUGAUUUACAAUUUUUUUUUGCUUCAAACUAUUUAGGGUCUUAAAAAUUCAUCAAAUAAAACCUUGGAAGUUGACAUAGUUUAUACCGAAGUAAAAGUUUUGAAUGUGAUCUACAAAUUUGCAAGUUGGCUUGUUUUUUACUUGAAGUUGUUUAGAGCCUAAAAUGUUUAUUUUAAGUCAUCAAAUUUUGUUUUGCAGUGACCUCAAAUGUUCGCAUGGUUCAUAACAAAAGUCGUAGCUAAAUGCAAUCUAAAAAUUUGUUGUUUACACAGGUUUCAAUUUAAAAUUGUUUAGAGUUCUAAAUAUUGAUAUUUAUUUUUUUUAAAAAAAAAUAAAUGAUCUUAUAUGAAAACAAGCAUAUGUAAAAGUUAUAGUUUUGGAUGAGAUGUAAAAGUUAUGAUUAUGUUAAUUGGCAAGAAGGAGGAUUAUUUAAUAUUUUUAUGCUGCUGGUAAAAUUGAUAAUACAUACAUUUAUAUAUAAGAUAAGAUAAGAUAAGAUUAUAAGGACUCUGUCCGUCUCUCUCUCUCAAGUACGUAGUGAAGUCAGAACACCAGACCAGAUCCUUUGAAGUUGUCCUCCACGAGGCGAUCCAAUUCUUGUCCCAUCUCUUUGCUCAUGUGGUUGGUCCAGUCCCCGACCUUGCCUUUCCUAAACACGGAAGAGCGCUGGAAGAAAAGCUUGCCCCCUGCCACCUCAACACCAUCUGGCGAUGCUUUAUUAGCUUGAAAGCUGCGAAGCGAGUCGAAGCUGCAGAAGCUGACAACCUGCUGGGCAACUCCACGGUCGUCCUCCUCCUGAGUGAAGGGGACACCGAGGAAGGUCGCAAGCUUCCUGGCAACCUGGAGCGUGUCAGACGCCAUCUGUUCGUACCUGAGAAACAUCACCUCUCGUGGCCUCGCCGAGCUCUCAUUCCAGUACUCAAGGUAGUGCUCCCAGAAAGGGCCGAAAGGAGAGCAGCCCUCGCAGAACAUGGCGAAGGCAGCGUCGAGGCCGACGGGGGCCCCUGUGCCGAUCAUGUUCUCAAAGUGCCACCUCGAGACGAAGGCAUCCUUGGGCUCCCGGCAGAGGUACACCACCCUGCAGCCGAGGGUGGAGACGGCGGGCGGGAGCAGCGAGAGGGGAAGGUGGGUCGACAGCAGCCUCGGCGACGGCAGCGUCUCCAGGUGGUCGAGGUCGCCACCACCCGUGGAGCUGAAGCCGAUGAAGGGCACGGCCAUCUGUGGGGUGGUCGUGAGCAGAGGGUGCUGCUGAUGGUUGUUGUCGAGGCUGCAGCGGGAGCGGUUGAAGAUGGUGAAGGCGAGGGCCUUGAGCCAGUUGGUUCCGCUCUUGGGGUGCGUCGCCAGGAUGAUGUCGUCGCCGCGGGGCUUGAAGUUGUCUCUCACGGCCAUGAAUUUUCCUACCGUGUGUGAUCUCAGCCAGCACUGGUUGUAGAGGGUGAGAGGUGUCGCCCAUCCUUCCCUUGUGGGAAGUCUAGCUACAAGAUCAGCUUCACUGUUGCUACUUUCAUUAGUGGAGCUCUCUUUGAUUUCAGAGUGAACUUGCGCCAUGCGGAUAUAGGAUCUAGCUGCUAGCAGGUCUCGGUCACACGGUACUCGCGCUUCUUCUUUUGCCAAUGAAAUUUUGGUUGGGGUCUUCACUCAUACUAUCAUAUAUAUAGAUCGGGAUUAGCUGGUGGAUGAGUGGUUGGGUGGGUUCAUGGGUGUGGUUGGGGGUUGGGAUCGGCGGAGGAUGCACAAGGCGAGUCAAAGUAUGGAUGAGAUAAUCUCUAUAUAUCUCUUCUCUAUUACUAAAAAGCGUGGGAUGUCAUCGUUACUGUAAUAUUUCUUCACCCCUCAAGACACCAUUCAUGAUACUAUUCCUCUGUUCAAAAUUCAGACACAUAAGCUGAUCUUCAGAAAUGUUCAACAUUCAAUUCAGUCUUGCAAAUUUGUCAUCAGACCAAAAUUAGCCUGAGUUAAGCUCAGAGCUACGAAUGUUCACAAAGCUUUGAUAGAUUUAUGGCUAGACAACUUUGUGUAUUUUUUUUAUUUUCUUUAUAUCUUUCUUUGUUUCUUGAUCUACUGUACCUAGACUGGAGCCUUUUUAGUUCAGUUAUUAAUAAAGUUCAGUAGGGUGAAACCCCUUCCUGUUUCCUUUAAAAAAAAUAUUUCAAUACCCCGCUCGACUUAUUGCCCAUUUGCUCCCAGGGUUUCCACCUUUGUACACGAUUCUUCCCAUGAUCAUACAUUACGGUUUUGAUCCCUCAAGAACCUCCAGCUCUCGAGUAAUUAAAUUGAUCUCAUCACGUAUCUGAGGCCAAUCACUAGUGGUGCUCUGCCGCAGGCGUUGUGACCAGCAAACCACCCACUCCCACACCUUCGUUCCCGUAUCAAAGGGAGAAGCGGGAGGGUCGAGAUGAGGACAGGAUCUCAGCACCGUCCAGCAGACAUCAUGCUGGAGGCGACGGAGGAAACCACGCUGCUUCAGCAUCGCCCACUGAGCUGCUCGCCACGCAGGUCGGGGCGUCGGGCUGCUGCCAAGUGGAGGAUGCAUAACGUACAGCAUAAGGGGAGUCAAAGGGGCUGGGAUAAUCUCUAUCUCUUCUUCUAUCUAUCUACUACUAAAAAGCGUGAGAUGUUAUCGUUAUGACAUUAUCAUAAUAUUUGUUCACCCCGCUGGACUUAUUGCCCCUUUGCUCCGCUCAAUGGACCACUGAUGAGAGUCUAAUAUAGAGGUACUGGCAGCAUGGUUUUCAAACGAAAUGGCUUCAAAGGAGUCAUUUGUGGCACUUUGAUCCUCGACUUGUGCCAUAGCUCACUCCUGUGGAGUUGCGCAGUCUCUCUCGCAAGCUAGGAUGGAUUGGAUGGGCUGGAGAAAUAUGGUUGCAAUCCUGCCUCGCAGGGCACAAUGAAAUAUAAACCUCGUGGUUGGCGAGUGUACUGUGCGUGUUUUUCUAAGCGAAAAUGAUAUAUAUCAUGUUGCGUAUGUGUAGUUAUUUUAACGGGAUGUUUGGUUGCUAGGCAUAGUUUACUACAACUAACUUUAGGUAAGUGUAGCAAGCCACAAAAAGUGUGGCUAGCAAAUUGGUUGCCACACUUUGCCAUGUUUAAAGGAAUCUUGCCACACUUUUUAACUCUAUGACAUGUGGAGCCCAAAAGAAACAUGUCUAAACUUAGUUGUCAACCAAACACUUUCCAACUUAAUCAAAUUUGUCUAAGGUAAAGUGUGGCUAGCAACCAAACAGCCUCUAAUUAAUCUUCAAUAAACCAUAUUACCUAUGUGUUCAGUGGUCGUCCUUCCCCAGCCCCAUUGCCAGCGGAUCUCGCUGAUCCAUUGAGGAGGCUGCGGAUCCUGCAGCAUCUUCGUCGUCCCCUCCGAUAACGCCGCGGCCUCAACAUACAUAUACUUUAAUAUACUUAUCUUUUUAUUAAAGUAUAUGUCCAUACUUUAUUCACACAAAAGCAUAUACGUCUAUAAAUAAUUGAUCAUAUACUCCCAAAUACAAGUAUUCAAAUAUACUCAUUUUCUCAUUAAAGUAUAUGUCCAUACUUUAUUCACACAAAAGCAUAUACAUCUGUAAAAAAUUGAUCCGCUUUCUAUGUUAAUUUUUUCUGGCCAGGCGCUCCUCACAAACAGAUCUUGUAUAAACACAUGAGCAUCCAAAUUAAACCUGUUUGCUCCACUAACGGGCCGCACCCCCCAAUUCCCCGUUAACGUACGUCCGCGACUUCACCUCCCGUGCCUCUCUACAGAGGUGGGAGUAAUUACUAGCAGGAGUGUGUGUGUGUGUGUGUAUAUAUAUAUAUAUAUAUAUAUAUAUAUAUAUAUAUAUAUAUAUAUAUAUAUAUAUAUAUAUAUAUAUAUAACGCUCAAGAAUAUAAAGAAAUAGAGAAUAUGAUCAAAUUUUUACUAUAUUUACACCUAUAAGAUAAAAUCAUAUGCACUUACAAGAAAGUGCACCCUUCUUACGUGUGCUCUAGCUCCGCCACUCACUGAGCACAGACGCGCGGCGACGACUAGACUAGCUAGCUCGUGACCAAGCAGCUAGUAGCAGCAGAGCUAACACACCGUUGCAGUACGUACGUAGUGUGGUAGAUCAUAGACAGAGACCAUAUCCUAGCCCUUUUCUGUACACACGGAUGAUGAUAUAUCGGAGAGCACAGGAACGGGCGCCGCUCACUGCAUGCUGAAGUAACAUAUAAUAAGUGUACAGUACGUGGUUGGUUGUGUGGUCGUCUCGUCAAUCGGCGCUGGUGCGUGGUCGCGGAGAAGCCGCCACACGAGAGACGCUCAGCCCGGGUCGUGUGCUUUACACGCGGCUGGUUUUGUUGACGAGACCCCAGCAGCACUCGCCGCCCUUGGCUAGGGCCUUGUUUAGUUCCGAAAAGAUUUCGGAUUUCGGUACUGUUGUAUUUUCGUUUGUUUGUGAUAAAUAUUAUUCAAUUAUGGACUAACUAAGAUCAAAAGAUUUAUCUCGUGAUUUCCAGUUGAACUGUGUAAUUAGUUUUUGUUUUUGUCUAUAUUUAAUGGUUCAUGCAUGUGCCGCAAGAUUCGAUGUGACGGGAAAUUUUGAAAACUUUUUACUUUUUGGGGUGAACUAGAUACUUUUGUUGCUGGCGGCAUGCAUGCAUGCAUGGUGUCAGUCGUCGGUAGAGAACGUGGCAGGGAACUUGGCCAAGCGUCGAUCGUCUAUCUGGUGUAAUACAUGCAUGCGUCUACUCCAACCCAUAUUAAAGUUUGUAGUAGCCGCCCAACUGACUGCCAUCGAGCGCGCCACUGCUUGACGCGCGCCUUUCAAGUUUGUACACAAAGCAGGCAAAGUCACGAGCACAUGGCACCGCGCGCAUAUCAUAUUAUAUAUAUAAUGCAUGAAUGCAUGCCUACAGGCAGUUUGGCCAAGGUCUUGUUUAGUUCCCAAAAAAUUUUGUAAAAAUUUAUCGAAUCUUUAGACGUAUGUAUGAAAUAUUAAAUAUAUAUAAAAAUAAAAACUAAUUGCACAGUUUGGUCGAAAUUGACGAGACGAAUCUUUUGAGCCUAGUUAGUCUCUGAUUAGAUAAUUUUUGUCAAAUACAAACGAAAGUGCUACGGUGUCGAUUUUGCAAAAAAUUUUAGAACUAAACAAGGCGCAAGAGCACUCGUCCAGGAGAUGACAUAUAUCACAGUCACACAGCUCAGUCUUUUCCAGCAUCUAGGGAUAUUCUAGCCUAACUUCUAGGUACGUAGGUAGCCGGCGACACCAUUUUAACUUGCAUUCCGCUUAAUUUCACGCCAAUAUAUAUGGCAUCGAUCCUUGUUUGUUUGUUUAAAACUUUGUUAAAAAAACGAAAUUUUACGUGUACAAGAUGUGGGGACUGAGACCUGUCCACCGUAUGUAGCCACAAAGCUAAGCCUCCAGUCCUAGAUACCAGUACUAGUGCUGCUCUCCCUACACUCGCUCCCCCCUACGUGCUAGAGAGAUGUCUCGUGCUCCUACGCUCGCUGCCGCUGCCGCGGUGGCGGCCGUCGUCCUCAUCUGCUCCUCCUCAACGGCUACCGCGGCGGACGGCAACGCGAGGCAGCCGCCGCUGGCCCCGGGCCUGUCCUUCGACUUCUACAAGCGCAGCUGCCCUAAGGCGGAGUCCAUCGUGCGGAGCUUCGUGCAGGACGCCGUGCGCAGGGACGUCGGCCUCGCCGCCGGCCUCCUCCGCCUCCACUUCCACGACUGCUUCGUGCAGGGCUGCGACGCCUCCGUGCUCCUCGACGGCUCCGCCACCGGGCCGGGAGAGCAGCAGGCGCCGCCCAACCUCACGCUGCGCCCCACCGCGUUCAAGGCCAUCAACGACAUCCACGACCGCCUCCACAAGGAGUGCGGCGGCACCGUCGUCUCCUGCUCCGACGUCCUCGCGCUCGCCGCACGGGACUCCGUCGUCGUGGUACAUACCAUACGCAUGCAUGCACAAUUUUCUUCUUUUCGUUUCUUUUCUUUAACCUGUUGUUUGCUGCUCGCUCACACACCACCACAUGCAUGCCUCGAUCCAUUCCAUAUGCAGUCCGGCGGGCCGAGCUACAAGGUGCCCCUGGGUCGUCGCGACAGCGCGAGCUUUGCGACGCAGCAGGACGUCCUGAGCGGGCUCCCGCCGCCGACGGCCGCGGUGCCGGCGCUCCUCGCCGUGCUGUCCAAGAUCAACCUGGACGCGACGGACCUGGUGGCGCUGUCAGGCGGGCACACCAUCGGGCUGGGCCACUGCACGUCGUUCGAGGACCGCCUGUUCCCGCGCCCGGACCCGACGCUGAACGCCACCUUCGCCGGCCAGCUCCGGCGGACAUGCCCGGCGAAGGGCACCGACCGCCGGACGCCGCUGGACGUGCGCACGCCCAACGCGUUCGACAACAAGUACUACGUGAACCUGGUGAACCGUGAGGGGCUCUUCACCUCGGACCAGGACCUCUUCAGCAACGCCCGCACCAGGGCCCUCGUCGACAAGUUCGCGCGCAGCCAGAGGGACUUCUUCGACCAGUUCGCCUUCUCCGUGGUGAAGAUGGGGCAGAUCAAGGUGCUGACGGGCACGCAGGGGCAGAUCCGCACCAACUGCUCCGCACGCAACGCCGCCGGGACGACGAUGCUGCCGUGGUCCGUCUCCGUCGUCGAGGAGGCUGCAGAUGAGAGCCUCGGCGUGUUCUAGAACUAG
rnacentral:lncRNA from 1 species